rnacentral:rRNA from 1 species
CGGCGGGUGAGUAAUGUCUGGGAAACUGCCUGAUGGAGGGGGAUAACUACUGGAAACGGUAGCUAAUACCGCAUAACGUCGCAAGACCAAAGAGGGGGACCUUCGGGCCUCUUGCCAUCGGAUGUGCCCAGAUGGGAUUAGCUAGUAGGUGGGGUAACGGCUCACCUAGGCGACGAUCCCUAGCUGGUCUGAGAGGAUGACCAGCCACACUGGAACUGAGACACGGUCCAG